CCGUGCAGCCGGGGAGGUAGCGGGGCCCUGUACCUGCAAUCCGCUAUAGCAGGGGUGAUAUCUGCCCGAGGCUUUUCUUCGUAAGGUCUGCCCUUUAUAAGUGGCGAUGAGAGUUGGGUCUUACGCAACAAGAAUUUGUGAACCGUGUCAGGUCCGGAAGGAAGCAGCACUAAACAAAACCUCUUGUGUGCCGUAAGGGUGCCUGACUUGAGUUAACUGUAAAGGUAACGCUUGGGAAGCACUGUCGACGGUAGAUGCACGG
rnacentral:SRP_RNA from 1 species